rnacentral:rRNA from 1 species
GAUCAUGGCUCAGAAUCAACGCUGGCGGCGUGCCUCAGAACAUGCAAGUCGAACGAUUAAACUUUCCUUCGGGAAAGAUAUAAAGUGGCGUACGGGUGAGUAACACGUAAGUAAUCUACCUUUGGGUGGGGGAUAACUCAGGGAAACUUGAGCUAAUACCGCAUAAUGCAGCGGCUCUUAAUUGAGACGGUUGUUAAAGCAUUUAUGUGCCUAAAGAGGAGCUUGCGGCAGAUUAGCUAGUUGGUAAGGUAAUGGCUUACCAAGGCAACGAUCUGUAGCCGACCUGAGAGGGUGGUCGGUCACACUGACACUGAAUAACGGGUCAGACUCCUACGGGAGGCAGCAGUCGGGAAUUUUGGGCAAUGGGCGAAAGCCUGACCCAGCAACGCCGCGUGAAGGAUGAAGUCUUUCCGGAUGUAAACUUCGGAAAUAUAGGAAGAAUAAAUGACGGUACUAUACCUAAGGUCCGGCUAACUACGUGCCAGCAGCCGCGGUAAUACGUAGGGACCAAGCGUUGUUCGGAUUUACUGGGCGUAAAGGGUGCGUAGGCGGCGUGACAAGUCACUUGUGAAAUCUCCGAGCUUAACUCGGAAAGGUCAAGUGAUACUGUCGUGCUAGAGUACAGAAAGGGUAACUGGAAUUCUUGGUGUAGCGGUGAAAUGCGUA